GGAGAGACUGUGUGGUUGGUGGUAGAGUGUAUGCUUUGCAUGCAAAAGAUCCCAGGUUUGAUUCCUGGCAACUCCA
rnacentral:tRNA from 1 species